AUUGAACGCUGGCGGCAGGCCUAACACAUGCAAGUCGAACGAGUGGCGGACGGGUGAGUAAUGUCUGGGAAACUGACCGAUGGAGGGGGGUAACUACUGGAAACGGUAGCUAAUACCGCAUACCAUCGGAUGUGCCCAGAUGGGAUUAGCUAGUAGGUGGGGUAACGGCUAACCUAGGCGACGAGCCCUACCUGGUCCAAGAGGAUGACCAGCCACACUGGAACUUAGACACGGUCCAGACUCCUCCGGGAGGCAGCAGUGGGGAAUAUUGCACAAUGGGCGAAAGCCUGAUGCAGCCAUGCCGCGUGUAUGAAGAAGGCCUUCGGGUUGUAAAGUACUUUCAGCGAGGAGGCGUUACUCGCAGAAGAAGCACCGGCUAACUCCGUGCCAGCAGCCGCGGUAAUAC
rnacentral:rRNA from 1 species